rnacentral:rRNA from 1 species
GGUCAAGCUAAUUAGGGCUAAUGGUGGAUACCUAGGCACACAG